ACACACACACUACACAAACACACUGCACACAUACUGCAUUACAUACACACACACUGCAUUACAUACACACUACAUUACAUACACACUACAUAAACACACACUGCAUUACAUACACACAUUACAUACAUACACAUACACACUACACAAAAACACUGCAUUAUACACACUACAUUCAUUAUACACACACACCACACAAACACACACACCACACAAAC